GACGAACGCUGGCGGCGUGCUUAACACAUGCAAGUCGAACGGAAAGGCCCUGCUUUUGUGGGGUGCUCGAGUGGCGAACGGGUGAGUAACACGUGAGUAACCUGCCCUUGACUUUGGGAUAACUUCAGGAAACUGGGGCUAAUACCGGAUAGGAGCUCCUGCUGCAUGGUGGGGGUUGGAAAGUUUCGGCGGUUGGGGAUGGACUCGCGGCUUAUCAGCUUGUUGGUGGGGUAGUGGCUUACCAAGGCUUUGACGGGUAGCCGGCCUGAGAGGGUGACCGGCCACAUUGGGACUGAGAUACGGCCCGGACUCCUACGGGAGGCAGCAGUGGGGAAUAUUGCACAAUGGGCGGAAGCCUGAUGCAGCAACGCCGCGUGCGGGAUGACGGCCUUCGGGUUGUAAACCGCUUUCGCCUGUGACGAAGCGUGAGUGACGGUAAUGGGUAAAGAAGCACCGGCUAACUACGUGCCAGCAGCCGCGGUGAUACGUAGGGUGCGAGCGUUGCCCGGAUUUAUUGGGCGUAAAGGGCUCGUAGGUGGUUGAUCGCGUCGGAAGUGUAAUCUUGGGGCUUAACCCUGAGCGUGCUUUCGAUACGAGUUGACUUGAGGGAGGUAGGGGAGAAUGGAAUUCCUGGUGGAGCGGUGGAAUGCGCAGAUAUCAGGAGGAACACCAGUGGCGAAGGCGGUUCUCUGGGCCUUUCCUGACGCUGAGGAGCGAAAGCGUGGGGAGCGAACAGGCUUAGAUACCCUGGUAGUCCACGCUGUAAACGGUGGGUACUAGGUGUGGGGUCCAUUCCACGGGUUCCGUGCCGUAGCUAACGCUUUAAGUACCCCGCCUGGGGAGUACGGCCGCAAGGCUAAAACUCAAAGGAAUUGACGGGGCCCCGCACAAGCGGCGGAGCAUGCGGAUUAAUUCGAUGCAACGCGUAGAACCUUACCUGGGUUUGACAUGGAUCGGGAGUGCUCAGAGAUGGGUGUGCCUCUUUUGGGGUCGGUUCACAGGUGGUGCAUGGCUGUCGUCAGCUCGUGUCGUGAGAUGUUGGGUUAAGUCCCGCAACGAGCGCAACCCUUGUUCACUGUUGCCAGCACGUUAUGGUGGGGACUCAGUGGAGACCGCCGGGGUCAACUCGGAGGAAGGUGGGGAUGACGUCAAGUCAUCAUGCCCCUUAUGUCCAGGGCUUCACGCAUGCUACAAUGGCUGGUACAGAGAGUGGCGAGCCUGUGAGGGUGAGCGAAUCUCGGAAAGCCGGUCUCAGUUCGGAUUGGGGUCUGCAACUCGACCUCAUGAAGUCGGAGUCGCUAGUAAUCGCAGAUCAGCAACGCUGCGGUGAAUACGUUCCCGGG
rnacentral:rRNA from 1 species